GAAAUGCAUACACACAAUCGAGAGCAGAAGGCCGAAGCAUCAAUGUCAGAGCGCUUUUUCUUCAGUUCUCUCGGAGACAUUCACUUUCAUUCCUCACUGUGACCCUGCGUUUCUUUCCAAGAUUUCCCAGUUUUAAUAUUCAUGGAUAUUGGAGGAUGUUGUACUUCAUUUAAAUGU